GCUGUGUUGACACGCUCUGCACCUUGCUCCUGCCCUCGCCUUUCACUCUUCUUAUGCCCCCGAUACCCCGAUCAUUCCUGACAGCUCCUGAGUGCCUGGAUUUCAUCAUCCAGCCCUGCAGGAUGCUCCCAUUUCUCCUGAGGAUGGCUGUCCCAGAUGGAGAAGAGGAGAUGGAGGUGGAUAUAGAGAUUGAUAGAGAGGAGGACAUGGAGACGGAGGGAGAAGACACUGGGGAGGAGGAGAUGGAGGUGGAGGUGAAGGUGGAAGAGGAGAUGGAAGUGGAUAUGGAAGAGUCCAUUGAGGACAUGGAUAUUGAUUAAAAAGGCUGUCCCAGACAGAGAGGAGGAGAUGGAGGUAGAUGCAAAGAUUGAUACGGAGGAGGAGAUGGAAAUAGACGGAGAAGACCCUGGAGAGGAAGAGAUGGAUGUGGAUGUGGAGGAGGAAGAAGAGAUGGACGUGUAUGUUGAUGAGGAAGAAGAGAUGGAUGUGGAUAUGGAAGAGUCCAUUGAGGACAUGGAUAUUGAUUAAAAAGGUGCGAUGGACAUCAUGGACAGAGACACCACCCUUGUGUAUAUAUGUUCUACACUUUGUUGUUGUUCUUUAGUAUGUAGAUUGUAGGGCUAUUUUUGACUUCUGUAAAUACGUUUCCCAUAGUUUUGCUAGGUAGGUUUUUCUUUAUAUAUGUUCUAUCGAUUGUUGUUGUUACAAAUAUUCUUACAAUGUAAAUAUGUUCUGUAUUUUUGCUGCUGUUCUUCUGUAAUAAACAAAUUUUACUUUUCACA